GAUUGUAGGCUGAAACUCGCCUACAUGAAGCUGGAGUUACUAGUAAUCGCAGAUCAGAAUGCUGCGGUGAAUGCGUUCCCGGGUCUUGUACACACCGCCCGUCACACCAUGGGAGUCGGAAAUGCCCGAAGUCUGUGACCUAACCGCAAGGGAGGAGCAGCCGAAGGCAGGUCGGAUGACUGGGGUGAAGUCGUAACAAGGUAGC
rnacentral:rRNA from 1 species